CAUUUCAAAAUAUUUUCAAUAUAGAUUUACCGUAUUCAUAAGGUAAUCCUAUCACAUACCAAAACCAAAAUUUGUUAGCCAUAUUAAUGGCUAACCAUACAUUCAUUCCACAUUAACAUCUACUUUACUAGCUUAUACAUGCCAUUGAUUUCCAAAAUAAGUUUCUUUAUGUACCGAGAUCUUGAGGUUGAUAGUGUGAUGCUUCUCCGACCAAAUCCGACCUCCGAGCUCUUAACACUACAAAAUAGGGGAAAAAGAAACAGGAUAAGCACUUUGUGCUUAGUAAGCUCAUGUAACAAGAGUUAUACUUACCUAAUAUUUUCCAUACAAUGUAAUAAAUAUUCAUACACCCAUUUCAUACAUUAUUCCCCUAUCAUGCACAAACUCAACAUUCAAAUUAGUCCAAUAAUUUCCAUGUAUCAAUAAUUUAUAUCAUGAUUGAUGAGCUCAUCAAUACCAUGAUUCCCAUUUCCUUGUUAUUUUUCCAUAUUUAUCCCGUUGAACUACUUGGAAUUUCGAUGGAUUUUCAGAGGUACACUUUAGUGUACUAAUCCGGGUCCGUCAAUUCAUAUUCAUGUGCGCACAUUUCCAUUUCAGAGAGCACACUCCCGCGAACCUCAUCUUUACAGCGGGAUUACCAGUCCAGGCUAAAUCCCCUGUAAUAUAAACUCAUAGAGUAUUGUCAGGAUUACCAGUCCAGGCUAAAUCCCCUGCAACGACAAUUACUCUAAUGAGCUUGGAUCUGAAUUACCAGUCUAGGCUAAAUUCAGACCCUAAUUCGGAUUACCCGUCCGGGCUAAAUCCAUUUUCCACAUAUUCUUCGGGAGGGCUAUAUCAGAAUAGGAUCACCCGUCCGGGUUAGAUCCUUUUUACCGUCAAUUCCUUUUCAGAGAUCCAUCGAAUUUUUCCUUUCAUUCAACCGGGAUUUAUUUCCUCUUUUCAUCAAGAAUAUCAAUACUUCAUCAAUUAUCAUACAAUAAACAUCCAAAUCAUAUUCACAUCAAUAACAAACAUUUCAAGCAUUUAAGAAUAUAAUUCAAGUUACACGAACUUACCUCGACACUUGUUCGUAACCAAAAAUCUACUAAUCCCAAACUUUUUCUUUCCCUCGAUCUUGCUUCGUAUUUGAAUUUUCCGGAUCUAAAUAAAUAAAUUUAAUCAUUAAUCUAAUACUUUUCAUGUUCAUAUGUAACACUCUCUAUAAUUCCAUUAUUAUUUGUAGUGCAUUCAAAGCUGUUUCACUGAGUCACAGUCACUAAAUUAUUUAUAUCUUGAGGUACGGAACUCCAAAUCAAGAUCCAUUAAUUUUCCAUGAAACUAGGCUCACAUAUCUUCUUACCAUAAAAUUUUCAGAAUUUUUGGUGUAGCCAAUAAGUACAGUUUAUUCUUUAAAGUUUCCCCUGUUUCACUUCUUGACAGUUCCGACCCCUCUUCACUAAAAAUUAAUUAUCUCAUUGUACAGAAUUUGGAUGAUGUUUCCGUUUGUUUCUUCUGAAAAUAGACUCAUUAAGGAUUCUAACAAUAUAAAGUAUAACUCAUAAUCAUUUUUUUACAAUUUUUAAUGAUUUUACAAAGUCAGAACAGGGGAACCCGAAUUCAUUCUGACCUUAUCUCACAAAACCUAUUAUAUCUCAUGAUUUACAAUUCCAUUGCUUACACCAUUUAUUUUAUAAGAAACUAGACCCAAUAAGCUUUAAUUUCAUAUUUUAUUCAUCCUCUAAUUAAAUUUAUACAAUUUUUGGUGAUUUUUCAAAGUUAGCCUACUGCUGCUGUCCAAACUGUUUUAGUGCAUGAGGUUAAUUACCAUUUUUCCCUAAACUUUCAAUAAAUGAUAAUUUCAUCCUUGCUCAAUUAACCUCUCAAUUGAGCUGAUUUUUCAUAAAUUAACACAUUAUUCCAUCACUUUAAACUACUUUAUAACCUUUGGAAAUCCGAAUUUUAGCGUUAGACUUUAAUUCCAAACUUUUUCACAAUUAGGUCCUACAAAUCAAUUUCUAUUGAAAUCACCUAAUAAAAUCAUCUCAUAAACAAAUUAAAGCUUCAAUUUCAUGCUAUUUCAUCAUAAACUUCCAGCACAUAUUCAUAGCAACUUUCAAAUUCAUUCAUAAAAUCAAAAACUAAUGAAUUUGGUAAUAGGAUCUAGUUGUAAAAGUCUUAGAAAUACAAAAAUUACAAGAAAAAGGCAAGGAUUAACUCACUUGGUGCAAAAAUUAUGAAAAACCAGCUUGAAGAAACGCUUAGGACGUUUUUGGC
rnacentral:lncRNA from 1 species